CCUACGGGGGGCAGCAGUCGAGAAUCAUUCACAAUGGGGGAAACCCUGAUGGUGCGACGCCGCGUGGGGGAAUGAAGGUCUUCGGAUUGUAAACCCCUGUCAUGUGGGAGCAAAUUAAAAAGAUAGUACCACAAGAGGAAGAGACGGCUAACUCUGUGCCAGCAGCCGCGGUAAUACAGCGGUCUCAAGCGUUGUUCGGAAUCACUGGGCGUAAAGCGUGCGUAGGCUGUUGCGUAAGUCGGGUGUGAAAGGCGCGGGCGCAACCCGCGGACGGCACAUGAUACUGCGAGACUAGAGUAAUGGAGGGGGAACCGGAAUUCUCGGUGUAGCAGUGAAAUGCGUAGAUAUCGAGAGGAACACUCGUGGCGAAGGCGGGUUCCUGGACAUUAACUGACGCUGAGGCACGAAGGCCAGGGGAGCGAAAGGGAUUAGAUACCCCUGUAGUC
rnacentral:rRNA from 1 species